GUGAGCUGGGGAUUGUGAAUUAGUCCCGGUUUGUGGUAUUAUGUAAUCUAAGCUGUAUAUCUGGUUGACUGAAUGUUUUCUGGACGCGGGUUCGACUCCCGCCGUCUCCACCAACAGUGUAUUUGUAUAUUAAGUGUAUUUGUGCUUUUGCUGCAGUUUCUGCAAGGCCGGUUCGAGUAUGCUGCUGAUGGGGACGCCAUGGUUUCGACAGGAAAAGAUAGGAAGAUCGGCAGCCGGUAGGCGAUGACCGUAAAUCAAGCAAAACCUUUAAAUGCAAAUGACGAAAGUUACGCAUUAGCAGCCUAAUACUGGCUAGCUAGGAGCCUUAUCCACUUGGCAACAGAACGGAUAAAAAAGGGAGCUUCGGCUCCCUUUUU
rnacentral:tmRNA from 1 species